rnacentral:rRNA from 1 species
AACGGAGAGUUUGAUCCUGGCUCAGGAUGAAUGCUGGCGGCGUGCCUAACACAUGCAAGUCGAACGGAAACAUGCUUUGCACUGUUUUCUCAAUAUCGAACCUGGAAUGGGAUUCUUCCUCUAGGUGUCGAAGGUUGAUUGAGGAAAGAGUGCAAAGUGAUGUCGAGUGGCGGACGGCUGAGUAACGCGUGGGAAUCUGCCCUAAAGUGAGGAAUAACUGCCCGAAAGGGUGGCUAAUACCGCAUAUGGUCUUCGGAUUAAAGGAUUUAUCCGCUUUGGGAGGAGCCCGCGUUAGAUUAGGUAGUUGGUAGGGUAAUGGCCUACCAAGCCUACGAUCUAUAGCUGGUCUGAGAGGAUGAUCAGCCAGACUGGGACUGAGACACGGCCCAGACUCCUACGGGAGGCAGCAGUGAGGAAUCUUCCACAAUGGGCGAAAGCCUGAUGGAGCAACGCCGCGUGAAGGAUGAAGGUCUUCGGAUUGUAAACUUCUUUUAUGAGUGAAGAAUAUGACGGUAACUCAUGAAUAAGCACCGGCUAACUACGUGCCAGCAGCCGCGGUCAUACGUAGGGUGCAAGC